rnacentral:tRNA from 1 species
UUAGUGAUAAGCUAAAUAAGCUGUAGGGCUCAUAACUCUAAAAUGGACUUUCCUCACUAAA